AAGAAAUUUGUUUUUAGUAUUAUAUUGUGGCUAAUGAAGCAGCUAAAAAGUCCUUCCAGUCAGUUGCAACAACAAUUAAAGCAGCAG
rnacentral:lncRNA from 1 species